GACCAUUGUCGCAACUUCAACUUAAAUAAGACGGCGGCGACGAUGCCUAAUUAGGGUCACAGAGGAUGUCGGAAAAGGAGCAAUAGCUGGAGUCAGCAACGACGCCGGCGGAGGUCUGCGUGGAGAAUAUGUCGGUGGGAUCUGAGAAAGAGGCCUUCAGACAGAGGAGCGCCGAUUUAUCCGAAUCGGGUGAAACGGAAUCGUUCCGCAACGUGAAGAGGAAGAACACGAGGAAGAGAAAGGUUUAAUCUCAGUUAAAUGCGCAGACACAAACACACUCCACCCCGUCGACGUGGUUACCAUGUUCUCCUGUAGCUGAGGGUUUGGUGAAGUUAAAGGUUUAAUCACAGUACAUCUUUUUUAAUUUUAAUUUUUAAUAGUCAACGAGUUAACUUUGAACAUCAGUUGAUUGAUUUGGUUAGAGGGACAAAAACCAAC
rnacentral:lncRNA from 1 species